rnacentral:rRNA from 1 species
GAUGAACGCUAGCGGCAGGCUUAAUACAUGCAAGUCGUGGGGCAGCAGGGUUGUAGCAAUACAAUCGCUGGCGACCGGCAAACGGGUGCGUAACACGUACGCAACCUUCCCGUUACUGUGGCAUAGCCCAGGGAAACUUGGAUUAAUACCACAUAUUAUAUUGAGGGGGCAUCCCUUUGAUAUCAAAGCUUCGGCGGUAACGGAUGGGCGUGCGGUUGAUUAGGUAGUUGGCGGGGUAACGGCCCACCAAGCCUACGAUCAAUAGCUGAUGUGAGAGAAUGAUCAGCCACACGGGCACUGAGACACGGGCCCGACUCCUACGGGAGGCAGCAGUAAGGAAUAUUGGGCAAUGGACGAAAGUCUGACCCAGCCAUGCCGCGUGAAGGAUUAAGGUCCUCUGGAUUGUAAACUUUUUUUCUCUGGGGCGAAAACCAGCUACUCUUAGCUAUUUGACAGUACCAGAGGAAUAAGCACCGGCUAACUCCGUGCCAGCCGCCGCCGUAACAC